rnacentral:rRNA from 1 species
AAUAGAGAAAUAACGCUGAUGAUUGUGGAUAACUCUGUGCGUAAAAAGGUAUAAAGCGGGGUUUUGCUGGGGAAUGCAGCAGUCAGUCAUUUUUCUGCAAUUUUUCUAUUGCGGCCUGCGGAGAACUCCCUAUAAUGCGCCUCCAUCGACACGGCGGAUGUGAAUCACUUCACACAAACAGCCGGUUCGGUUGAAGAGAAAAAUUCUGAAAUUCAGGGUUGACUCUGAAAGAGGAAAGCGUAAUAUACGCCACCUCGCGACAGUGAGCUGAAAGCCGCGUCGCAACUGCUCUUUAACAAUUUAUCAGACAAUCUGUGUGGGCACUCGAAGAUACGGAUUCUUAACGUCGCAAGACGAAAAAUGAAUACCAAGUCUCAAGAGUGAACACGUAAUUCAUUACGAAGUUUAAUUCUUUGAGCAUCAAACUUUUAAAUUGAAGAGUUUGAUCAUGGCUCAGAUUGAACGCUGGCGGCAGGCCUAACACAUGCAAGUCGAACGGUAACAGGAAGAAGCUUGCUUCUUUGCUGACGAGUGGCGGACGGGUGAGUAAUGUCUGGGAAACUGCCUGAUGGAGGGGAUAACUACUGGAAACGGUAGCUAAUACCGCAUAACGUCGCAAGACCAAAGAGGGGGACCUUCGGGCCUCUUGCCAUCGGAUGUGCCCAGAUGGGAUUAGCUAGUAGGUGGGGUAACGGCUCACCUAGGCGACGAUCCCUAGCUGGUCUGAGAGGAUGACCAGCCACACUGGAACUGAGACACGGUCCAGACUCCUACGGGAGGCAGCAGUGGGGAAUAUUGCACAAUGGGCGCAAGCCUGAUGCAGCCAUGCCGCGUGUAUGAAGAAGGCCUUCGGGUUGUAAAGUACUUUCAGCGGGGAGGAAGGGAGUAAAGUUAAUACCUUUGCUCAUUGACGUUACCCGCAGAAGAAGCACCGGCUAACUCCGUGCCAGCAGCCGCGGUAAUACGGAGGGUGCAAGCGUUAAUCGGAAUUACUGGGCGUAAAGCGCACGCAGGCGGUUUGUUAAGUCAGAUGUGAAAUCCCCGGGCUCAACCUGGGAACUGCAUCUGAUACUGGCAAGCUUGAGUCUCGUAGAGGGGGGUAGAAUUCCAGGUGUAGCGGUGAAAUGCGUAGAGAUCUGGAGGAAUACCGGUGGCGAAGGCGGCCCCCUGGACGAAGACUGACGCUCAGGUGCGAAAGCGUGGGGAGCAAACAGGAUUAGAUACCCUGGUAGUCCACGCCGUAAACGAUGUCGACUUGGAGGUUGUGCCCUUGAGGCGUGGCUUCCGGAGCUAACGCGUUAAGUCGACCGCCUGGGGAGUACGGCCGCAAGGUUAAAACUCAAAUGAAUUGACGGGGGCCCGCACAAGCGGUGGAGCAUGUGGUUUAAUUCGAUGCAACGCGAAGAACCUUACCUGGUCUUGACAU